rnacentral:rRNA from 1 species
UUGACCUCGGAUCAGGUAGGGAUACCCGCUGAACUUAAGCAUAUCAAUAAGCGGAGGAAAAGAAACCAACAGGGAUUGCCCCAGUAACGGCGAGUGAAGCGGCAAGAGCUCAAAUUUGAAAGCUGGCUCCUUCGGGGUCCGCAUUGUAAUUUGUAGAGGAUGCUUCGGGAGCGGUCCCCAUCUAAGUGCCCUGGAACGGGACGUCAUAGAGGGUGAGAAUCCCGUAUGGGAUGGGGUGUCCGCGCCCGUGUGAAGCUCCUUCGACGAGUCGAGUUGUUUGGGAAUGCAGCUCUAAAUGGGUGGUAAAUUUCAUCUAAAGCUAAAUAUUGGCCGGAGACCGAUAGCGCACAAGUAGAGUGAUCGAAAGAUGAAAAGCACUUUGAAAAGAGAGUUAAAAAGCACGUGAAAUUGUUGAAAGGGAAGCGCUUGCGACCAGACUCGCUCGCGGGGUUCAGCCGGCAUUCGUGCCGGUGUACUUCCCCGCGGGCGGGCCAGCGUCGGUUUGGGCGGUCGGUCAAAGGCCCUCGGAAGGUAACGCCCCUAGGGGCGUCUUAUAGCCGAGGGUGCAAUGCGACCUGCCUAGACCGAGGAACGCGCUUCGGCUCGGACGCUGGCAUAA